rnacentral:rRNA from 1 species
GUGCCAGCAGCCGCGGUAAUACAGAGGUUCCUAGCGUUGUUCGGAUUUACUGGGCGUAAAGGGUGCGUAGGUGGUGUGGUAAGUCAAAUGUGAAAUACUGCAGCUUAACUGUAGAACUGCAUUCGAAACUGCCAUGCUAGAGGGCUGGAGAGGAGAUCGGAAUUCUCGGUGUAGCAGUGAAAUGCGUAGAUAUCGAGAGGAACACCAGUGGCGAAAGCGGAUCUCUGGACAGCAACUGACACUGAGGCACGAAAGCUAGGGGAGCAAACGGGAUUAGAAACCCUCGUAGUCC